GAUGUUUCCUUUUUUUCCAGUCAUCAGUCUGUUCAAAAAAGAAAAGGCACAAAAGGGUGGACUUCACGAGACACCAGAAAAGUGCAAGCAGCCACCAGAUUUUGGAAGUUGUGGUCCCAGAUAUGAGGCUUGGUACUUUAACACUACAACAGCCACCUGCAAAUUGUUACCUGUCGGUGCCUGCACCGAAGGAGGAAACUAUUUUCCUACGUUUCAUCAAUGCAAGGAAAAGUGUCAGCCAACCAAAGGAAUGAGAUCAGCUCUAUGCCUCACUCCACCCAACAUCCGUGCCUGUGAGGGACACAAUUCUGUGUGGGUUUUUGAUUAUAUGGAUGGAUAUUGUAAGAUGCUCAACCACACUGCUUGGUGUACAGGGAACAAUAUAUUUACCUCAG